UGAACUGCGGAASSAUCAUUGUCGAAACCUGCAAGGCAGACCGCGAACACGUGUUUAACCGAGUCGGCCGUGGCGUGGGGGCGCGUCCCCCCCGCCGCGGCCGCGGCUCCCCGCCGGUGCUUGCGCUGUGCGGGCUAACGAACCCCGGCGCGGAACGCGCCAAGGAAAACUAAAACGAAGCGCCCUCCCUCGUCCCGUGCCCCGUCUGCGGUGUGCACGAACGGGGGGAAGGUCGCGCCUCACUUAUGUCAAAACGACUCUCGGCAACGGAUAUCUCGGCUCUCGCAUCGAUGAAGAACGUAGCGAAAUGCGAUACUUGGUGUGAAUUGCAGAAUCCCGUGAACCAUCGAGUUUUUGAACGCAAGUUGCGCCCGAAGCCUUCGGGCCGAGGGCACGCCUGCCUGGGCGUCACGCAUCGUGUCACCCCCCUCCCCCUCUCCGGAGCGGGCGGGGCGGGGGUGGAGAAUGGCCUCCCGUGCGCCCCGUCGCGCGGCCGGCCCAAAUGCGAUCCCCCGGCGACGCCAGUCGCGACCAGUGGUGGUUGAAUCCUCAACUCGCGUGCUGUCAGUCGUGCAGAACGGCGUCGUCCGGACGGGCAUCACCAACGACCCAAUCGGCGCCUCGGCGCUUCCGACCGCGACCCCAGGUCAGGCGGGAUUACCCG
rnacentral:rRNA from 1 species